GAUUUACGUAUAGAGUUUGAAUAAAUGGGAUUUAUAGUCAAGAAGAAGAAAUAAUAAAUGAACGAUGCUGGUGCCCUCGUAGCCACAGCGUGAGGUGUGUCUCAGUCUUCAGGGCCUGCAUCUUCUGAUUUCUCACCUGUUCUGCCUGGAAUUUGUUCCAGAAUGAAAAGUGCCACCUCCUGGUAGAGCACGAAACCCAGAAGCUGAAGGCCCUGGAUGAGAGCCAUAACCAGAACCUGAAGGAAUGGCGGGACAAGCUUCGGCCGCGCAAGAAGGCUCUGGAAGAGGAUCUGAACCAGAAGAAGCGGGAGCAGGAGAUGUUCUUCAAGCUGAGCGAGGAGGCGGAGUGCCCAAACCCCUCCACCCCAAGCAAGGCCGCCAAGUUCUUCCCCUACAGUUCUGCGGAUGCUUCUUAACAACAGCCCGGGGCUGUGGCUGGCAGCUUGGUGGGCCCCAGGGCCUUCUCCUUCAUUCUCUGUGAACAUGUAACUCAGGACCCCUUUUCCCUCUUGCAUCUGUGCCAGCUCAAAUCCAGCCCCUCGCCCUGUGCCACCCCAACUGUGCCCGAUAGACCUGCCCCAGCAUUCCUGACUUCUCGCUGGCCUGUGGAGGGUGAGGUGUAAUUAUUUGUCACCUGACCCUAAUGUAUAUUCUCCUUGAGCCCCAGAUCCCUUCAAGCUGGAAGGGAUGGGGCUGUUGGUGGGGUCAGGGUCCAGGAGGAAUGGGUGUUCUGUGGCCUCGAGUCCUCUCCUGUUUGCGAAAAUACCAGUUUUGCUCUCUGUGGGAACAAAGCACUGCUGAUGAAGUCCCCGUGGGCUCAUUUGGGCUGGAAUUCUUGGUUUUUCAGCCAUUCCCUGCAGAGUCACUGAAUCAUCAAGUCCCUCACAGCCAUUUCUGUUCCCAGUGGAGCCAGGCCUGCAGCUGGCUGCUCAGGAGAUGGCCUCAUUCCUCCUGUUCUCCCAGUUUGCUUACCACUUAAGACAAAGCCAUGUCUAUGUGGGGGGCGGGGACCGGGGAAAGAGGGAGGCUGAAAUGUUUAUUCUGCUUCUCCCGUGUUUCAUGCCAUCUCGCGUCCCCCUUCCUGCACGUGGGUGUGAAUGCACACACAUACGCAUACACACAGGACUCGGUCUGCUGGCCUGGCCUCUUCUGCCCAGGUGGGUUGGAACACGUUUGCUGCCUGAGCCUGUGCCACUGAGCACGUUAGGUGGAGCAGUUGGUGUGGCGCGUGCAGGGUGUUGGCAUCAAAGGCAUGGAGAAGCACAGGCUGUACUGCCAGGCUGCGAUCCAUGCUGGCCCCCGCACAGGCUCCUGUGUUCAGGAACUGAUUCCUCAGCACACAAAGCUUCCACAACCCAGUCUGCUCCAUAGCACUCUGGCCCACCCUGUCUGCAGGUGAAACAGGAGGGCUGUUUCCCUCUGCCCUGUCCCCCCGACUGUGUUCAGGAGUUCCACCUUGCAUUUCAGACCUGGGCUAGCAGUCUCUUGGACUUCUCUUCAGGAAGAAAAAGCAUCAGGGGGAAAUGGAAUGCCCCUGCCCCGGGAACAUGGCGGAAGCACAGGUUCUGUACCUCAGAUGGACUCCUGCUGGGCCUUCAGGGUCUUAGUUGGCUUCCCCCACAUUCUGAUUCUACGGCUGCAGAGUGUAUAUAACGCAAUAAAAGCAAAUGUUUGAACCAGUAUGCGGGUUUACUUACGAAGAAAACCUUUUUUCACCCUGAUUUCUAAUUGUUUCAUUGAAACAACUAUAAAGUGUAUGGUUUCUCCAGGAAGAUAUCUGCUUUUUUAAAAAAAACACCACCACCACAAAACUGGUAAUGAUUUGGAGUAAUACAGGCGUAUUGAGUCUGGGUAGUGUUUCACUGGUGGUAGAGUGGUUGAGACUCCCUGGGAGGACUUUUUCCGCCUUCACUCCUAUAGAUUUAAGAUUCUUUUUUUUCAGGCCAGGCAUGGUGGCUCACCUGAGGUGAGGAGUUCGAGACUAGCCUGGCCAACAUGCCAAAACCCUGUCUCUACUAAAAAUACAAAAAUUAGCCAGGUGUGGUGGUGCAUGCCUGUAAUUCCAGCUACUUGGGAGGCUGAGGCAGGAGAAUCGCUUGAACCCAGGAGGCAGAGGUUGCGGUAAGCCAAGAUCACACCACUGCACUCCAGCCUAGGUGACAGGGCGAGACUCUGUCUCUA
rnacentral:sRNA from 1 species